rnacentral:rRNA from 1 species
AUUGAACGCUGGCGGCAUGCUUUACACAUGCAAGUCGAACGGUAACAGGCCGCAAGGUGCUGACGAGUGGCGAACGGGUGAGUAAUGCAUCGGAACGUGCCCAGUCGUGGGGGAUAACGCAGCGAAAGCUGCGCUAAUACCGCAUACGAUCUCUGGAUGAAAGCGGGGGACCGAAAGGCCUCGCGCGAUUGGAGCGGCCGAUGUCAGAUUAGGUAGUUGGUGGGGUAAAGGCCCACCAAGCCAACGAUCUGUAGCUGGUCUGAGAGGACGACCAGCCACACUGGGACUCAGACACGGCCCAGACUCCUACGGGAGGCAGCAGUGGGGAAUUUUGGACAAUGGGCGCAAGCCUGAUCCAGCAAUGCCGCGUGCAGGAAGAAGGCCUUCGGGUUGUAAACUGCUUUUGUACGGAACGAAACGGUCCGGGUUAAUACCCUGGGCUAAUGACGGUACCGUAAGAAUAAGCACCGGCUAACUACGUGCCAGCCGCCGCCGUAAAAC